rnacentral:sRNA from 1 species
UAAAAAGGACCCGUCGGCUAAAGACGCUGACGUCCUGUCAGCAACGCCGACACUAGCACAUCCUGUGCG